UGAUCCUGGCUCAGGACGAACGCUGGCGGCGUGCCUAAUACAUGCAAGUCGAGCGAGCUGAAUUCAAAGAUUCCUUCGGGAGGAUUUGUUGGANNNNAGCGGCGGAUGGGUGAGUAACACGUGGGCAAUCUGCCCUAAAGACUGGGAUACCACUUGGAAACAGGUGCUAAUACCGGAUAACAACAUGAAUCGCAUGAUUCAAGUUUGAAAGGCGGCGCAAGCUGUCACUUUAGGAUGAGCCCGCGGCGCAUUAGCUAGUUGGUGGGGUAAAGGCCUACCAAGGCAAUGAUGCGUAGCCGAGUUGAGAGACUGAUCGGCCACAUUGGGACUGAGCAACGCCGCGUGAGUGAAGAAGGUCUUCGGAUCGUAAAGCUCUGUUGUUGGUGAAGAAGGAUAGAGGCAGUAACUGGUCUUUAUUUGACRGUAAUCAACCAGAAAGUCACGGCUAACUACGUGCCAGCAGCCGCGGUAAUACGUAGGUGGCAAGCGUUGUCCGGAUUUAUUGGGCGUAAAGCGAGCGCAGGCGGAAUGAUAAGUCUGAUGUGAAAGCCCACGGCUCAACCGUGGAACUGCAUCGGAAACUGUCAUUCUUGAGUGCAGAAGAGGAGAGUGGAACUCCAUGUGUAGCGGUGGAAUGCGUAGAUAUAUGGAAGAACACCAGUGGCGAAGGCGGCUCUCUGGUCUGCAACUGACGCUGAGGCUCGAAAGCAUGGGUAGCGAACAGGAUUAGAUACCCUGGUAGUCCAUGCCGUAAACGAUGAGCGCUAGGUGUUGGGGACUUUCCGGUCCUCAGUGCCGCAGCAAACGCAUUAAGCGCUCCGCCUGGGGAGUACGACCGCAAGGUUGAAACUCAAAGGAAUUGACGGGGGCCNGCACAAGCGGUGGAGCAUGUGGUUUAAUUCGAAGCAACGCGAAGAACCUUACCAGGUCUUGACAUCCUGCGCUACACCUAGAGAUAGGCCGUUCCCUUCGGGGACGCAGAGACAGGUGGUGCAUGGCUGUCGUCAGCUCGUGUCGUGAGAUGUUGGGUUAAGUCCCGCAACGAGCGCAACCCUUGUCUUUAGUUGCCAUCAUUAAGUUGGGCACUCUAGAGAGACUGCCGGUGACAAACCGGAGGAAGGUGGGGAUGACGUCAAGUCAUCAUGCCCCUUAUGACCUGGGCUACACACGUGCUACAAUGGGCAGUACAACGUGAAGCGAACCCGCGAGGGUAAGCGGAUCUCUUAAAGCUGCUCUCAGUUCGGACUGCAGGCUGCAACUCGCCUGCACGAAGCUGGAAUCGCUAGUAAUCGCGGAUCAGCACGCCGCGGUGAAUACGUUCCCGGGCCUUGUACACACCGCCCGUCACACCAUGGAAGUCUGCAAUGCCCAAAGUCGGUGGGAUAACCUUUAUAGGAGUCAGCCGCCUAAGGCAGGGCAGAUGACUGGGG
rnacentral:rRNA from 1 species